rnacentral:rRNA from 1 species
CAGUCGCCGCGGUAAUACAGAGGGUGCGAGCGUUAAUCGGAUUUACUGGGCGUAAAGCGUGCGUAGGCGGUCUGACAAGUCAGAUGUGAAAUCCCCGGGCUUAACCUGGGAACUGCAUUUGAAACUGUCAGGCUGGAGUCUUGUAGAGGGGGGUAGAAUUCCAGGUGUAGCGGUGAAAUGCGUAGAGAUCUGGAGGAAUACCGGUGGCGAAGGCGGCCCCCUGGACAAAGACUGACGCUCAGGUGCGAAAGCGUGGGGAGCAAACAGGAUUAGAUACCCCAGUAGUCCCUGUCUCUUAUAC